GACGAACGCUGGCGGCGUGCCUAAUACAUGCAAGUCGAACGCUGACGCAGGAGCUUGCUUCUCUGGCUGAGUUGCGAACGGGUGAGUAACGCGUAGGUAACCUGCCUGGUAGCGGGGGAUAACUAUUGGAAACGAUAGCUACUACCGCAUAAGAGUAGAUGUUGCAUGACAUUCGCUUAAAAUUUGCACUUGCAUCACUACCAUAUGGCCCUGCGUUGUUUUAGCUAGGUGGUGGGGUAACGGCUUACCAACGCGACGGUUCAUAGCCGACCUGAGAAGGAGGUCGGCCACACGUGGACUGGGGCACGGCCCAGACCCCUACGGGAGGCAAGAGUAGGGGAACUUUGGAAAUGGGCGGAAGUCUGACCGAGCAACGCCGGGGGAGUGAAGGAGGUUCUCGGAUCGUAAAGCUCUGUUGGAAGAGAAGAACGAGUGGGAGAGUGGAAAGUUCACGCUGUGACGGUAUCUUACCAGAAAGGAACGGCUAACUACGUG
rnacentral:rRNA from 1 species